rfam:Schistocephalus solidus strain NST_G2 genome assembly, scaffold: SSLN_scaffold0005167
GGCCUUGUAGCUCAGUUGGCUAGAGCGUUGGCUGUACUAAGGCCUUCCCUUUGCUGGGGUGGGUUCGAAUCCCACCGAGACUG